CACGUAGGGUGCGAGCGUUGUCCGGAAUUAUUGGGCGUAAAGAGCUCGUAGGCGGUGUGUCGCGUCGGCCGUGAAAACCUGCAGCUUAACUGUGGGCUUGCGGUCGAUACGGGCAUCACUGGAGUUCGGCAGGGGAGACUGGAAUUCCUGGUGUAGCGGUGAAAUGCGCAGAUAUCAGGAGGAACACCCGGUGGGCGAAGGCGGG
rnacentral:rRNA from 1 species